rnacentral:sRNA from 1 species
GCUGGGCACAGUGGUGCAUGCCUGUAAUCCAGCUACUCAGGAGGCUAAGGCAGUAGGAUCACAAGUUCCAGGCCAUCAUUGCAAACUUUGCAAGACUCUGUCUCAA